GAAAAUAUAUUUUACCACGCAAUAAAAAUGAGGUUUUUCAAACCGACCUCUUGAAUCUUUAUUUUGGAAAAAAAUUAAAAAAGAUACUAUUUGAUCAAUAUUUCAACCAACCUCCGAAGGUUGAUUAUUUUUACUUGUAGUAACUAAAUAAUUGUUCAAAUUGGAAACAACCUAGCUAGCUAGCCAUCGGCCUCAUCAAUGCUAAGCUGCAAUAUAUAUCAACAUCUUUAAUACUCUCUCUCCGUCUCAUUUUACCCGUCCUAAAUUUCUUCAAUCUGGUAUCCCAUUUUACUUAUCCUUUUUUACUAAUCAAGACAAAACAAUUUUUUUUCUUCAUAUUUUACCCUUUGCAUUAAUUACUUUUUCUUUAAAUUAAAAUGUAAACAUCAUUUAAUAUGAGUACUAUGGUAAACUAGCCAUGUUAUUUAUUAUUUUUCUUAAUAGCCUGCCAUCCCAAUUUGAGACGAGUAAAAUGAGACGGAGGGAGUAUCUUCGUAUUAAUUCAUUAUUUUCAGCUCUUCAUCACCCUUUCUUAAUUCUCAGCAAAAAAUUACUUUUCAAUGGCUGUAACUAUGAGGGUAACAACACCUUUAAUUUGCUUCGCUCUUUUAGCUUCAAUUGUCUUUCUCUCUAAAAUAUGGUCCAAUGUGGAAGAUCCAACCUUACAAUUGAGGUAUAUGUAUAUGUAAAUGCAGUAUUACUGAAGUCUGAAAGAACGGUUUUUCGUUUUAUGUGAUGGAAUUGAUCUUUUUUGUAAACUAUUCAUGGAGACUUGUACGAUUGUGUAAAUAUCUAUAAACAACUGACACUUUUGGAUCCGAAACUGGGGACAACAAGAAUUAAGAGGAUCAUUUCGAAGGAACUGGAAAGACAGAUUGAAAGCUGUGCAACCAAAAAAGGUGCCCAAGUCAGGUGGUUUCAUGGCAGAGGAAUAUGGGUCGAACAAGGAAGAAUGUUCAAUUGGAACUGUGCCUAUACGCAAAGCGACAACGAAACAACUCCCAAGUGCUAGAUAUGCCUCCUCAAGCUUGGCUCAUGUAUACUUCGGAUAUAAAUGGAUUGAUGUAAUCUUUCUCGAGUUGAUGUUAUCAUAUAUACAUAUAUCUAUGUAAAUAUCUAGAGUUAUGCAUUUUGAUUUGGCUUUAAUUUGUCACUAGGAGUACUUUAAGACUCAACAGUACUAAUAUAAGUUAAUUGGACUUUCUGCUAAUAAGAUGUUCUGGAUUUUUUUCUGCUUA